CGCAGGGCGGCGGGGAGGGCCGCGGGCUCCCGGCCGGCCUCCGGCGCGGAGGCGGGCCUUGCCGGCCGGCGGAGAAGCCCCCAGGCCCGGCGGGCUGCCGAUCGGGCCCGUUGGCGGGCGUCGAGAGCGCUACCAGACGACCUCAUCCUUUCUCAGAAAACACUGUGGAGCCUUCUGGAUAAGGGGAUGCGAAGAUGGAAGAGCCAAGUGGAAUGUGGCACAGGCAAACCACCCCCGAUGGUUUUGAUUUCCAUGUUUUUUUUUUAAACGUGAGUCUAGAGAUUUUGAGCCUCCCCAGGGGCACACAAAUCCUUGAAAGCCCCAAGACCAGAGUCCAGUUACCAUGACACUGCUACAUCCUAAUCCUGCUCCAGCAGUGUUCCUGGUGGUCUUCGGUCAGAGGGCUUUGACAACCUUAGCCAAUUUACUUUGCAUACAUUUCAUCUUUAUGUAUAUGAAGAGUGAUAUACAGGAAUAGACAUUUUUCCAAAGAAGACAUCCAGAUGGCCGACAGACACAUGAAGAGACGUUCACCAUCCUCAUCAUCAGGGAAAUAC